rnacentral:rRNA from 1 species
UACGGAGGGGGCUAGCGUUGUUCGGAAUUACUGGGCGUAAAGCGCACGUAGGCGGCUUUGUAAGUUAGAGGUGAAAGCCCGGGGCUCAACUCCGGAAUUGCCUUUAAGACUGCAUCGCUAGAAUUGUGGAGAGGUAAGUGGAAUUCCGAGUGUAGAGGUGAAAUGCGUAGAGAUCCGGAGGAACACCGACGGCGCAGGCAGCGUCCUGGCCGCUUGCUGACACUGAGGCACGAAAGCUGGGGGAGCAAACAGG